ACUUAAUAAUUAAUUUUUGCUAUAAAGAAUUGAAGAAUGUAUUUUAAAUUUAAAAUAAUAAUAAUAUUGAAAAUUAAGUAAAAAAAAAAUUAAAGAUGGCUAUAGUAAAUAAGUAUUGUAAAAGAAAUAUUUAAAUUUAAGUAAAAGAAGAUAAUAUUGUACCUUUUGUAUCAGGGAUAAUUAAAAUUUUUUAGGUUUAAUUUAAAAUCUCGAAAUUUAGUGAGUUAUUAUUAAAAUAAUAUUUUUGUUGUAUAAAAAUAUGAAAUUUAAUGAUAGUAAUGAUAUAUUAAUCGUACUAAUUAUAUCUAGUUUUUUCAUAAGUAAAUUUAAUUUAGUAUCUUUUUUUAAGAAAAAAGAGUGGAAAAUUAAAAAGGGUAAGCUUUUUAGUUAUUUUAUAGGAAGAAUAUUAAAGAAUUAAAAAUUAAACUUAAAAUUAGUUAUAUUAAUAAAAUGUUAUAAAUAAUUUAUUUAUUUUUUGGAUUUAUAUAUAAUCUUAAAUAAGUAUGAAAAAAUUAUUUUAAAUUGAGAAUAUUAAAUUAAAAUGAUUAUAUAAGUAAAUUUUUCUUGUUUUAUUAUAUAAAAUUGAAUAUUUAUUAUAUUAUAUAAAAUGUAUAAUAUAUAAAAAAGGAAUUCGGCAAAAUAUAUUUUUGCCUGUUUAUCAAAAACAUGUCUUUAUGAAAAAAAUUUAAAGUCUAAUCUGCCCACUGAAUAAAUUUUUAAAGGGCCGCGGUAUUUUAACUGUGCAAAGGUAGCAUAAUCAAUAGUUUUUUUAAUUGAAGGCUGGAAUGAAUGAUUGAACAAAAAAUAAUCUGUCUUUUUUAUGAAAAUUGAAUUUUACUUUUAAGUGAAAAGGCUUAAAUAAUUUAAAGGGACGAUAAGACCCUUUAAAACUUUACAAAAGAAGGUAAUUUAUUAAAUAAUGUUGAAGUUAAUUAUUUUUAUUUUGUUUCGUUGGGGUGAUGAAGAUAAUUAAAUAACUGUUUUUAUAUUUAAAAUAAUUUUAAUUAGAGAUUAAUAUGAUCCUUUAUUUUUUAAAGAUUAAAAGAAAAAGUUACUUAAGGGAUAACAGCGUAAUUUUUUCUGAGAGUUCUUAUUGAUGAAAAUAGUUGUGACCUCGAUGUUGAAUUAAGAUUUUUUUAUUAGAGUGCAGAAGUUCUAAAUAUAAGUCUGUUCGACUUUUAAAAUCUUACAUGAUUUGAGUUCAAACCGGUGUAAGCCAGGUUGGUUUCUAUCUUUUAAUUUAAAAUAAAUUAUUUUAGUACGAAAGGAUUAAAUAAUUGAAAUAAUUUAAUUUAGGUUUGAUGAAUAUUAAUGUUACUAUUUUGGCAGAAUAUGCAUUAGAUUUAGGAUCUAAUUAAAUAGAUAA
rnacentral:rRNA from 1 species